rnacentral:rRNA from 1 species
UACGAAGGGUGCAAGCGUUACUCGGAAUUACUGGGCGUAAAGCGUGCGUAGGCGGUGCGUUAAGUCUGUCGUGAAAGCCCCGGGCUCAACCUGGGAAUGGCGAUGGAUACUGGCGCGCUAGAGUGCGGUAGAGGGCAGUGGAAUUCCCGGUGUAGCAGUGAAAUGCGUAGAGAUCGGGAGGAACAUCAGUUGCGAAGGCGGCUGCCUGGACCAGCACUGACGCUGAGGCACGAAAGCGUGGGGAGCAAACAGG